CCUACGGGAGGCAGCAGUGGGGAAUAUUGCGCAAUGGGCGAAAGCCUGACGCAGCGACGCCGCGUGAGGGAUGAAGGUCUUCGGAUCGUAAACCUCUGUCAGCAGGGAAGAACGGUCACUGUGCUAAUCAGCAGUGAAUUGACGGUACCUGCAAAGGAAGCACCGGCUAACUCCGUGCCAGCAGCCGCGGUAAUACGGAGGGUGCGAGCGUUAAUCGGAAUUACUGGGCGUAAAGCGCUCGUAGGCGGUAUGUCAAGUCAAGGGUGAAAUCCCCGCGCUCAACGUGGGAACUGCCUUUGAAACGGGCAAACUGGAGUGUGUGAGAGGAUAGUGGAAUUCCAGGUGCAGGAGUGAAAGCCGUAGAUAUCUGGAGGAACAGCAGGGGCGAAGGCGACUAUCUGGCACAUAACUGACGCUGAGGAGCGAAAGCGUGGGUAGCAAACAGGAUUAGAUACCCGAGUAGUC
rnacentral:rRNA from 1 species